UACGGAGGGUGCAAGCGUUGUCCGGAAUCACUGGGCGUAAAGGGCGCGUAGGCGGCUCGGUAAGUAGGGGGUGAAAUCCUGCGGCUCAACCGCAGGGCUGCCUUCUAAACUGUCGAGCUCGAGCACGGUAGAGGCAGAUGGAAUUCCCGGUGUAGCGGUGGAAUGCGUAGAGAUCGGGAAGAACAUCAGUGGCGAAGGCGGUCUGCUGGGCCGUUGCUGACGCUGAGGCGCGACAGCGUGGGGAGCAAACAGG
rnacentral:rRNA from 1 species